rnacentral:lncRNA from 1 species
GCAGGGGUGGGAAGGACCAGGUUCUUCAUUCCAGUGCUCACUGAGGGCCUGUGAUGGGCCAGGCACACCUCCAGGCACAGGUGACAUCAGUGAACAAGAGACCAACAGCCCCGUCCCCAGGGUAUGGCACGGGGGACUGAGACACAGCGGGCCUGAGCCUCUGCAGGACAGGGAGGGGCCCUCAGGCCUACCCUGAGCUCCUCCAGCGCAGUUUGAGCCCAAGGCCGAGGCGGGGACUCCACCUUGUGUGCACAAGCAAACAGCCGCCAUCUGCCUGGGUUAGUUAAUCAGCAAAUCAAAGGACCACCUGGAGCUGCGGGCACUGAUGGGCAGCCAGGAGGGAAAACCCGGCCCUGAGCCUGGGGAACACCAGACCAGCAAAUGGUGCAACCCCUCGCUGGAGCCCAUGGCAGGGUACCCUGACCCUGUCACCUGGUCACUCGUCAUGAGCCUUGCCCAGGAAGAUCACCACAGCAACCAACCCCCGAACCUCUGUCCUUGGACUUGCUCAAGGUGAGGUGCCUGCGGCCGGUGAUGACCGCACAUGGCCAAGUCGUCCCCGAGUGGUACUGGGAACCCCGCCGUCUGGAGCUUGGCCCAGAACGAGCUCCGAGCUCCGCUGGCUGUCGUAUCUGAGUGCCCACAGGUCUGCCUGGCCAGCCUCCUCACCCCCCUGCCCUGCCUUAACCCUUCCUAGCCUUUGUCCCUGUGUGUGUAAAAUCGUGGGAAGUGUGAUGUGAUGUGAGUCGAGGGUCAGAUACUAGAAAUUAAGAUGGAAUAAAGAGCCUGUGGUUCCCGGCUCACGGCUGCCAGGUGACCCUCGGGGAUCCAGGGAACGGCCACUGCUGAAGGGGACAGCCUGUGAAUUGACUGCUCUCCAGUGAAUGCUGAUCUACCUUAAUGACAGCUGCGAAGCGGGAAAGGGGCAGGAGAGUUCCCAGGACUGGAGGCCUCCGGACAGGGCCCUGGAGAGUUCUA